rnacentral:snRNA from 1 species
GAAAUUAUUUUUUAAAAAUUGGAAUUGUACAGACAAGAUUAGCAUGGCCCCUGUGCAAGGAUGACACAAACUCAUGGCAAGUCCACGUUUUUAUU